GCAGAUGUGGAUCUCAGCUAUCCUGUGCUGCCAUGCUCUCCACCAUAAGGAUAAUGGGCUAAACCUCUGAAAUGAAGUUCUGCAGGCCCAUGUACUUCAAGCCUCUACUGAAAUGCCACCUUCUGGAAGAACCUACUAGGUAGCGCUCGGAUCCCAGCCAUUCCUUCCUGUCUGCAUUCCCUGAGUUCCCCCAUCAUACCUAAGUAUCUACAUUGGUGCCAUAGAUUCGCUACCAUGGAUGGUGAUGGGCAAGCAUCUCUGCGAAGUGUUGACUUCAGUCUUCUGGAGGGACAUCAUGGAAGAAUUUGUCACCAUGCGUCAUUCUCAUGUGUUCUGAUCUUCUGGGGUCACAGUAGCUGCCAUUGAAUUUUCCCACUUCCCAAGAUCAUGGACCGUGAGGAAUGGAAGUCUUCAGAUGCUUGGACUUUGGCUAAGGCUCUCGGGUUUCUGCUGAAGAUCUGCCUUGUGCCAGUGCUGUUGCAGGGACUUGAGCUACCCCAGCAUACAACGUGAUGAUGACUCCAACUGUGAUAAUGACUCCAACUGUCGUUGAGUCGUUACUGUAGAGAAUGGAUAGGUACUAUUGAUGCUGCACUUGCUAAUAAGUCAUUUCAUCUCUCUGCUCCAAUUUCAUUGCCAGUCAGGAAUUGGUUUGAUCAUCUCCACAAUGAGGGUGACAAGCAAGCUAUCCCAUAGUUGUUAAAAGAUACGAUUUACAAAAGGUAAAAUUACACAGGUCUAGGAUUUUGCUUAAAUCAUAAAUGAGGAGAGCUAGAGAUAUCACAAGUCAGAGAAUAGAAAAUAUGAAAUCCUCUCAUAAGAAUAGAUGCUGAAAUAAAAUUUCAAUAAAUGCAAAAC
rnacentral:sRNA from 1 species